GAGGCAUAGCUCAGUCGGUUAGAGCGCCUGCUUCACAUGCAGGAGGUCGUAGGUUCGAGUCCUACUGUCUC
rnacentral:tRNA from 2 species